rnacentral:rRNA from 1 species
GAUCCUGGCUUAGGAUGAACGCUAGCUACAGGCUUAACACAUGCAAGUCGAGGGGCAGCAUUGGAGUAGCAAUACUCAGAUGGCGACCGGCGCACGGGUGAGUAACACGUAUCCAACCUGCCGCUUACUCGGGGAUAGCCUUUCGAAAGAAAGAUUAAUACCCGAUGGUAUAAAGAGUUCGCAUGUUCUCUUUAUUAAAGAAUUUCGGUAAGCGAUGGGGAUGCGUUCCAUUAGAUAGUUGGCGGGGUAACGGCCCACCAAGUCUACGAUGGAUAGGGGUUCUGAGAGGAAGGUCCCCCACAUUGGAACUGAGACACGGUCCAAACUCCUACGGGAGGCAGCAGUGAGGAAUAUUGGUCAAUGGGCGCAAGCCUGAACCAGCCAUGCCGCGUGCCAGGAAGACGGCCUUAUGGGUUGUAAACUGCUUUUACAUAAGACUAACCGUAUAUUUGCGAAUAUACCUGAAUGUAUUAUGAGAAUAAGGAUCGGCUAACUCCGUGCCAGCCGCGGC